rnacentral:rRNA from 1 species
CCUACGGGAGGCAGCAGUGAGGAAUAUUGGACAAUGGACGAAAGUCUGGUCCAGCUAUGCCGCGUGCAGGAUGACGGCCCUAUGGGUUGUAAACUGCUUUUAUACAGGAAGAAAAACUCCGACGUGUCGGAACUUGACGGUACUGUAAGAAUAAGGAUCGGCUAACUCCGUGCCAGCAGCCGCGGUAAUACGGAGGAUCCAAGCGUUAUCCGGAAUCAUUGGGUUUAAAGGGUCCGUAGGCGGUUUUUUAAGUCAGAGGUGAAAUCCUGCAGCUCAACUGUAGAAUUGCCUUUGAUACUGAAAGACUUGAGUUAUUGUGAAGUGGUUAGAAUGUGUGGUGUAGCGGUGAAAUGCAUAGAUAUCACACAGAAUACCAAUUGCGAAGGCAGAUCACUAACAAUAUACUGACGCUCAGGGACGAAAGCGUGGGUAGCGAACAGGAUUAGAUACCCUGGUAGUCCACGCCGUAAACGAUGGAUACUAGCUGUAUGUCUACUUCAGGUAGAUGUGUGGCUAAGCGAAAGUGAUAAGUAUCCCACCUGGGGAGUACGAUCGCAAGAUUGAAACUCAAAGGAAUUGACGG